ACAUGCAAGUCGAACGGCAGCGCGAGAGAGCUUGCUCUCUUGGCGGCGAGUGGCGGACGGGUGAGUAAUAUAUCGGAACGUGCCCAGUAGCGGGGGAUAACUACUCGAAAGAGUGGCUAAUACCGCAUACGCCCUACGGGGGAAAGGGGGGGAUCGCAAGACCUCUCACUAUUGGAGCGGCCGAUAUCGGAUUAGCUAGUUGGUGGGGUAAAGGCUCACCAAGGCAACGAUCCGUAGCUGGUUUGAGAGGACGACCAGCCACACUGGGACUGAGACACGGCCCAGACUCCUACGGGAGGCAGCAGUGGGGAAUUUUGGACAAUGGGGGAAACCCUGAUCCAGCCAUCCCGCGUGUAUGAUGAAGGCCUUCGGGUUGUAAAGUACUUUUGGCAGAGAAGAAAAGGUACCUCCUAAUACGAGGUACUGCUGACGGUAUCUGCAGAAUAAGCACCGGCUAACUACGUGCCAGCAGCCGCGGUAAUACGUAGGGUGCAAGCGUUAAUCGGAAUUACUGGGCGUAAAGCGUGUGUAGGCGGUUCGGAAAGAAAGAUGUGAAAUCCCAGGGCUCAACCUUGGAACUGCAUUUUUAACUGCCGAGCUAGAGUAUGUCAGAGGGGGGUAGAAUUCCACGUGUAGCAGUGAAAUGCGUAGAUAUGUGGAGGAAUACCGAUGGCGAAGGCAGCCCCCUGGGAUAAUACUGACGCUCAGACACGAAAGCGUGGGGAGCAAACAGGAUUAGAUACCUGGUAGUCCACGCCCUAAACGAUGUCAACUAGCUGUUGGGGCCGUUAGGCCUUAGUAGCGCAGCUAACGCGUGAAGUUGACCGCCUGGGGAGUACGGUCGCAAGAUUAAAACUCAAAGGAAUUGACGGGGACCCGCACAAGCGGUGGAUGAUGUGGAUUAAUUCGAUGCAACGCGAAAAACCUUACCUACCCUUGACAUGUCCACACAGCCGAAGAGAUUUGGCCGUGCUCGCAAGAGAACCGGAACACAGGUGCUGCAUGGCUGUCGUCAGCUCGUGUCGUGAGAUGUUGGGUUAAGUCCCGCAACGAGCGCAACCCUUGUCAUUAGUUGCUACGCAAGAGCACUCUAAUGAGACUGCCGGUGACAAACCGGAGGAAGGUGGGGAUGACGUCAAGUCCUCAUGGCCCUUAUGGGUAGGGCUUCACACGUCAUACAAUGGUCGGGACAGAGGGUCGCCAACCCGCGAGGGGGAGCCAAUCUCAGAAACCCGAUCGUAGUCCGGAUCGCAGUCUGCAACUCGACUGCGUGAAGUCGGAAUCGCUAGUAAUCGCGGAUCAGAAUGUCGCGGUGAAUACGUUCCCGGGUCUUGUACACACCGCCCGUCACACCAUGGGAGUGGGUUUCACCAGAAGUAGGUAGCCUAACCGUAAGGAGGGCGCUUACCACGGUGGGAUUCAUGACUGGGGUGAAGUCG
rnacentral:rRNA from 1 species